AGGACGAACGCUGGCGGCGUGCUUAACACAUGCAAGUCGAGCGGUAAGGCCUUUCGGGGUACACGAGCGGCGAACGGGUGAGUAACACGUGGGUGAUCUGCCCUGCACUCUGGGAUAAGCCUGGGAAACUGGGUCUAAUACCGGAUAUGACCUGCUCUCGCAGUGGGGGGUGGGUGGAAAGGUAUUUUAGCGGUGCAGGAGUCGGGCCCCGCGGCCUAUCAGUCUUUGGUUGGGUAGGGGUAAUGGCCUACCGAAGGGCGAACGGACGGGUAGCCGACCGUGGAGGAGGGUGACCGGGCCACGACCUGGGACUGAGACACGGCCCAGACUCCGUACGGGAGGCAGCGAGGUAGGGGAAUAGUUGCACGAAGUCGGGACGAAAGCC
rnacentral:rRNA from 1 species